rnacentral:rRNA from 1 species
UACGGGGGGGGCAAGCGUUGUUCGGAAUUACUGGGCGUAAAGGGCUCGUAGGUGGCCAACUAAGUCAGACGUGAAAUCCCUCGGCUUAACCGGGGAACUGCGUCUGAUACUGGAUGGCUUGAGUUCGGGAGAGGGAUGCGGAAUUCCAGGUGUAGCGGUGAAAUGCGCAGAUAUCAGGAGGAACACCAGUGGCGAAGGCGGCACUCUGGGCCGGUACUGACGCUGAGGAGCGAAAGCGUGGGGAGCGAACAGG